GUGGGGAAUAUUGGACAAUGGGCGAAAGCCUGAUCCAGCCAUGCCGCGUGUGUGAAGAAGGUCUUCGGAUUGUAAAGCACUUUAAGUUGGGAGGAAGGGCAGUAAGUUAAUACCUUGCUGUUUUGACGUUACCGACAGAAUAAGCACCGGCUAACUUCGUGCCAGCAGCCGCGGUAAUACGAAGGGUGCAAGCGUUAAUCGGAAUUACUGGGCGUAAAGCGCGCGUAGGUGGUUUUGUAAGUUGGAGGUGAAAUCCCCGGGCUCAACCUGGGAACUGCCUCCAAAACUACUGAGCUAGAGUACGGUAGAGGGUAGUGGAAUUUCCUGUGUAGCGGUGAAAUGCGUAGAUAUAGGAAGGAACACCAGUGGCGAAGGCGACUACCUGGACUGAUACUGACACUGAGGUGCGAAAGCGUGGGGAGCAAACAGGAUUAGAAACCCUUGUAGUCC
rnacentral:rRNA from 1 species